rnacentral:rRNA from 1 species
GACGAACGCUGGCGGCGUGCUUAACACAUGCAAGUCGAACGAAGUGGCGAACGGGUGAGUAACUCGUAAUCAACCUGCCCUUCAGAGGGGGAUAACAGUUGGAAACGACUGCUAAUACCGCAUACUUACGGAGGGGAUUGCGUCUGAUUAGCUAGUUGGAGGGGUAACGGCCCACAAAGGCGAUGAUCAGUAGCCGGUCUGAGAGGAUGAACGGCCACAUUGGGACUGAGACACGGCCCAGACUCCUACGGGAGGCAGCAGUGGGGAAUCUUCCGCAAUGGACGAAAGUCUGACGGAGCAACGCCGCGUGAGUGAUGACGGCCUUUGGGUUGUAAAGCUCUGUUAAUCGGGACGCGGUACCGGAAUAGAAAGCCACGGCUAACUACGUGCCAGCAGCCGCGGUAAUAC